CCAGGACCCACAGGGAGGAGACCAGCAGAGGCAGGUGGGAUCAGGACUUGACCUUCCUCUUUCAAUAACUCUAAAUUAGUUCUUGCUACUUUCACUCGUUCAGGUUGACAGACUCCCUGAGACAUGCAGACGUGACUUCCUAAGCAUCAUUCGUGCGUCCAUCCCAGCCCUGCCGGACCAUGUCUGACCUGGGCUCAGGAUGGCACUGGCACCCAGGGGUGAUUUAGGGGUUAGGUUUCAGCGGGCUCUACCUGAGGUGGGCUCAGGUCACAGAGCACAGCCAGGAAGGAGAACCAAGCUCUUCUAGAAGUGUAUGGAAAGAGUUCCAGGAGGAAGAGCUGCCAGGCUGGGCCUGGAGUUGGCCAGGUACUGGGGUGGGGGAGGUGGGCUCCAGUGCUACGGCCAACCUCAGUGAUGACGCUUCCCAGGUCGCAGCCUUCUCCUCUACUCCCACCCUGCCGCUUGCAGCCCCUCCACCUACCCCACCUCUAGCCUCCCCUUGCUCCCCUCCCCUUCCAGGGCACUCUCAAGGACUCUAGCCCCCAAGCUCCCUGCGUCCGCACACUUCUCUGAGCAUCCCACCCUGAUGCUUUGAUAGACAUGGGCUGGCCUAGGCCCUGCCCCUUCUUCAGUCUUCUCCAGUGUGGGGACGCCAUUUCCUCUCCUGCUAUCAGCAACCCAGGCCUGGGAGACGUGGAGUCUGUCCUUAGAGACAGGUCUCUAAGUUCUGUCCCCCGCUUAGAGCAUUUCUCCUUUCCUUCCAGCUGUUCCCUCUCUCUAAACCCCUGACUCUGGUCUUGGGAGGACCGUGGAGCCUGUCUCACAGCUGUGAGUCCACUCUCUGGCUGGCACCUUCCUCUUCCCUCCUCCCUCAGAAGUGGCCCCUCCGGGCUCUGGUGCAUCUUCUCUCUCCUCAAGGACCUGUUCCCAUACCUCCUGCUUCCCUCUGCUCCCUCUCCUGGGGGCUUCCCCAGCCUCCCAACAGGCCCAGGAGGCCCUAAAAAGAAAACAAACCAAACUUCCCUUGACUCCACAACUCCUUCCGGCUACUAUCUCUUCUCCUUCCCCUGUUUAUAUCUACAGGUGUUUUCUAAUCUUAGUUGGUGACUCUACUGUCCAUUUUAGCUUUUAGCUUCACCCAGCAUCCUGUCUGCUAAGGUCACCAGGGACCUCCCGGGCCACGUGGAAUCACCACAUCUCAGUCCUUGACUUCUGCAGUCCCUUGCUCUGCCUCUUCCCUUGUUUCAAGCUCCAGCCUCUUCAGUUUGCUCCUGGAUUCACUCCCGCACCAGGGCCACAUGGUCUCAGUCUCCUUGCUCACUCCUCCUCCUCAGCCUGGCCUCUGAAAUUGCACCCUACCCUCCCCUGCCCCUGCUCAGCUGCUCAGUUGCUCAGCUCCUGCCCUUCUCUUGCCACCUGACCUCCCUAGACCUGAGGUUCUCAAUCUUAGCUUUGCACGAGAAUCAUCAGGGAGUUCUGCGAAAUGCUGAUGCCCAGGCUGAUCGCGUCCAGGGGAGGGCCAGGGUCACUGGCAUUUUUCCAACACUCUCAGGUGAUGUAAGUGCUCUGUGGGGGCUGAGAAGCCCAACCCAGGGUGGUGCCUCCACUCUCAAGGCACCAGCAUCGUGUCCUACACAGGUGCCUUCCAGCCUGACCCCUCCUCUGAGCACCACCUGCCAGUGUGACAGCUCCAUCUGGCAUGGGAAGCAAAAAAAAAAUGUUACUUAAAAAUCCAACGAGCUUAUUAAGGAAUCUGUGGCUGCACUCCGAGCUGGUCCCCACAGGCUCGUGGUUCUUCUUAAUCAAGUAGUAAAUCCUUUAUAAGGUGGUGAGUGUCUCACCACAAUCAUAUGAUCUAGAUGUUAUUAUUCCCAGUUUACAGAUGAGGAAACAGGCACAGAAACUUGCCCAAGGCCAUGCAGGUAGCAGGAGGUGGAGCUGGGAUUACAAACCCAGACAGUUUUGGCUCAACAGUCCAGGGUCAUAACCACAGUCCAGCUUCAGUGAGUCCUGCUGCCUUCACAGGGGACAGCGGCCGGCAAGGUUGGCUCCUUGGACUGGGCACACACGGCCACAGGGACAGGCAGGCAGAUAAUGGGACUGUCAUCGCCACAUACAUGUGACAAUCUCCUUUGCUGCUGCCUUUAUGUUCCCAUCCUUAAAUACCUCUCCCCAGGAUCAAGGCUGGCUGCAACAUUUAUCCAGGCCCAAACCCAACAUAGACGGAGUCCAGCCCCACCAGGCAUGGUAGCAUUUUUUGUGAUCUGGAGUAAGACCCUCUACUGGCAACUUCACUGGAAAUUCCCUGGGUUCUAAGGAAGGAAUGAACCUUGUUGGACUCCAGGGGGUCAAGGGGAAUCCUGGAUGUUAGCAUGAGAGCCCCAGAUGAGCCUGAGCUUCUGUUCAGUCCUGCCACCCAUCCUGCCUGGAGAGCCUGGGUCCAGGAAAGAGACCUCUGGAGGUCCUUGCUUUUGCAAAGGAAGCAGUUUUUCACACAGCUUCUGUGGCCAACUACUAGCGUCCAGUGUUGUUUCAGUUGAGAUUCCUGAUGAGCCCAGUUUUAUCUUUUUGCACCCUCCUUCAAUUUCCUUGUGUGUAAAAUGGGAUGACCAUCUCCUCGGUAAGAUGUCAGGUGGUGAGCACAGUGCCUGCAUGUGGUAAGUGCUAAAGAAAAGUAAUUAGAAUCAGUAAAACUGAAGAACUCUUUAGAAAAAGCAGUCACCUGUGCUGGCUGAGCUUGUGUAAAAGAAAGAUUUACUGACUCAGUUUUAAUUUCUGUGAAUACACCUUUGUGUAGUGAGGAGCAAACCAAGAGGACUGAGCCUUGGGCCUGCCAGCAACUCACCUGAUGCCUUUCUCUGGGCCUCAGUUUUUCUCUCUCUGAAGUGGAUGUGUGUCAUAUGACCCAGAGAUUUCUAAUCUAUCUUCUCCAGCUAGAUUCUUGCAUUAGGGGUGAACUUGUUCAUUGGGUAGAGUUGCUUCCCCUGGUUUGGAGAGGCAGCAUUUGCAGCCCCAGAGGCUAUCAGGGAUAAGGGUGUUGGGCCAAGAAUAGCUGGGCCAGGAGCAAUAAACUGUUAAGGGCUUGAUGAGUCUGAGCAACUGACCAAUAACAUCCAAUGCCCCUGGAACCUGGCAACUCCAACUUUAGGUGGCAGAGGAUUAAACACAUUUUGCCUCAAGGUGAGUCUGUACAGGUCCCCAGUGGUCUCUGGGCCUGCCUUCCAGCUCUGUGAGGAACAGGAGCUGAGCAAGUGCCUACAGUCACCACGCUGCCUACAGUGUCCAGGGGAUUCUAGCCUGGAUAGGAAAACUGGCUUGGCUGAGUGGACUGUCCCAGGGUGAGGAUCUGGGAAUGAGCAUAUGGGGAUGGCAGACUACCACACGCCCUGGAAGCUGGAGAGGAAGGAGGCACCCAGGACAGAAGGUGAGGUUGCCCCAGGUCAACAACUUCCAGAUGAGAUCCACCUUGAGUCAUGAUCCUCAGAUGCCAAGCCACAGGAACCUCAUCACCCACCUCAUCAUCCAAACUGGAACUUGAUGGAAAUCAUUCCACAACUAUGUGUUGGUGGGUUGUCUUCUUAAUACUUGGAAGGAGGUCUUAAUACUUAUCCCACUGAAAUCAUGCUACCUACACCUAGCAAAACAUACAUCAAAGAAAAACUUCUAACUGGGUAUAUCACAUGCCCACUGUACUAACACACUGGAGAACCCCCAACAACAGGAGGCCCGGGGAGAGUCCCUGACCCACAGGGACUUCAGGUCAAGACCACACCCACCAUCCUUUCAAGGUGGAGACAGUCCCCGUAGGAACCAAACUGAUGUAUAAUAAAACUCAUCAUUUAUUUCUCUUCUCCCUACA
rnacentral:lncRNA from 1 species